CCCGGGUGGCUGCAGUGGGGAAUAUUGGACAAUGGGCGAAAGCCUGAUCCAGCCAUGCCGCGUGUGUGAAGAAGGCCUUCGGGUUGUAAAGCACUUUCAGUGGGGAAGAAAGCCUUGGGGCUAAUACCCUCGAGGAAGGACAUCACCCACAGAAGAAGCACCGGCUAACUCCGUGCCAGCAGCCGCGGUAAUACGGAGGGGGCGAGCGUUAAUCGGAAUUACUGGGCGUAAAGCGCGCGUAGGCGGUCUGAUAAGCCGGUUGUGAAAGCCCCGGGCUCAACCUGGGAACGGCAUCCGGAACUGUCAGGCUAGAGUGCAGGAGAGGAAGGUAGAAUUCCCGGUGUAGCGGUGAAAUGCGUAGAGAUCGGGAGGAAUACCAGUGGCGAAGGCGGCCUUCUGGACUGACACUGACGCUGAGGUGCGAAAGCGUGGGUAGCAAACAGGAUUAGAUACCCUGGUAGUC
rnacentral:rRNA from 1 species